GGAUUAGGCAUGCAAGUCGAGCGGAAAGGCCCCGCAAGGGGUACUCGAGCGGCGUAAGGGACAGUAAUGUGUAGAUACGUACCUCUAGGUCUGGGAUAGCUGCGGGAAACUGCAAUUAAUACCAGAUAAUGUCUCCGGACCAAAGGUGUGAUUCCUCCUAGAGAGCGGUCUACAUCCUAUUAGCUUGUUGGCGGGGUAAUGGCCCACCAAGGCAAAGAUGGGUAGCAGGUGUGAGAGCACGACCUGCGUCACUGGGACUGAGACACUGCCCAGACACCUACGGGUGGCUGCAGUCGAGAAUCUUCGGCAAUGGGCGAAAGCCUGACCGAGCGACGCCGCGUGCGGGAUGAAGGCCUUCGGGUUGUAAACCGCUGUCAGAGGGGAUGAAGUGUCCAUGGGUUCUCCCAUGGAAUUGACAGAUCCUCAGAGGAAGGGUGGGCUAAGUUCGUGCCAGCAGCCGCGGUAAUA
rnacentral:rRNA from 1 species